UACGUAGGGGGCAAGCGUUGUCCGGAAUUAUUGGGCGUAAAGCGCGCGCAGGCGGUUUAUUAAGUUGGGUGUUUAAGCCCGGGGCUCAACCCCGGUUCGCAUCCGAAACUGGUUGACUUGAGUGUAGGAGAGGAAAGUGGAAUUCCACGUGUAGCGGUGAAAUGCGUAGAGAUGUGGAGGAACACCAGUGGCGAAGGCGACUUUCUGGCCUAUAACUGACGCUGAGGCGCGAAAGCGUGGGGAGCAAACAGG
rnacentral:rRNA from 1 species